GACGAACCGUGCGAACGUUGUUCGGAAUCACUGGGCUUAAAGGGCGCGUAGGCGGGAUGGCAAGUCGGUCGUGAAAUCCUUCGGCUCAACCGAAGAACGUCGAUCGAUACUGCUGUUCUUGAGGGUUGCAGAGGAGACUGGAAUUCCCGGUGUAGCGGUGAAAUGUGUAGAGAUCGGGAGGAACACCGGUGGCGAAGGCGGCUUCUUGGGCCGUUGCCUGACGCUGAGGCGCGAAAGCGUGGGGGAGCGAAACG
rnacentral:rRNA from 1 species